GACGAACGCUGGCGGCGUGCUUAACACAUGCAAGUCGAACGGAAAGGCCCUGCUUUUGUGGGGUGCUCGAGUGGCGAACGGGUGAGUAACACGUGAGUAACCUGCCCUUGACUUUGGGAUAACUUCAGGAAACUGGGGCUAAUACCGGAUAGGAGCUCCUGCUGCAUGGUGGGGGUUGGAAAGUUUCGGCGGUUGGGGAUGGACUCGCGGCUUAUCAGCUUGUUGGUGGGGUAGUGGCUUACCAAGGCUUUGACGGGUAGCCGGCCUGAGAGGGUGACCGGCCAGAUUGGGACUGAGAUCCUGCCGCGACUCCUCCGGGAGGCAGCAGUGGGGCAUAUUGCACAAUGGGCGGAAGCCUGAUGCAGCAACGCCGCGUGCGGGAUGACGGCCUUCGGGUUGUAAACCGCUUUCGCCUGUGACGAAGCGUGAGUGACGGUAAUGGGUAAAGAAGCACGGGCUAGCUACGUG
rnacentral:rRNA from 1 species